AGUGAACGCUGGCGGCGUGCUUAACACAUGCAAGUCGAACGAGAACGGAUUAUAGCUUGCUAUAAUUGUCAGCUAAGUGGCGCACGGGUGAGUAAUGUAUAGAUAACCUGCCCUUAAGAAAGGAAUAACAGUUGGAAACGACUGCUAAUGCCUUAUAUGCCUUUAAUACAUAAGUAUGCAAGGGAAACGCUUUGGUGCUUAAGGAUGGGUCUGUAUGGUAUCAGUUAGUUGGUGGGGUAAUGUCCUACCAAGACAAUGACGCCUAACUGGUUUGAGAGGAUGAUCAGUCACACUGGAACUGAGACACGGUCCAGACUCCUACGGGAGGCAGCAGUGGGGAAUAUUGCACAAUGGACGAAAGUCUGAUGCAGCAACGCCGCGUGGAGGAUGACACAUUUCGGUGCGUAAACUCCUUUUAUAUAGGAAGAUAAUGACGGUACUAUAUGAAUAAGCACCGGCUAACUCCGUGCCAGCAGCCG
rnacentral:rRNA from 1 species